rnacentral:rRNA from 1 species
UUAAGUGAAUAAGGGCGCACGGUGGAUGCCUUGGCACUAGGAGCCGAUGAAGGACGGGACUAACACCGAUAUGCUUUGGGGAGCUGUACGUAAGCUAUGAUCCAGAGAUUUCCGAAUGGGGGAACCCAACAUCUUUAAUAGGAUGUUACGAUUGUGUGAAUACAUAGCACAUUCGAGGUAGACGCAGAGAACUGAAACAUCUAAGUACCUGCAGGAAGAGAAAGAAAAUUCGAUUCCCUGAGUAGCGGCGAGCGAAACGGGAAAAGCCCAAACCAGCAAGCUUGCUUGUUGGGGUUGUAGGACUCCAAUAUGGUAGUUCUUUCAGAUAGUCGAAUGACUUGGAAAAGUCAGUCAAAGAGGGUAAAAACCCCGUAGACGAAAUGUGGAAGACACCUAGGAGGAUCCUGAGUACGGCGGAACACGAGAAAUUCCGUCGGAAUCCGGGAGGACCAUCUCCCAAGGCUAAAUACUCCCUAGUGACCGAUAGUGAACCAGUACCGUGAGGGAAAGGUGAAAAGCACCCCGGAAGGGGAGUGAAAUAGAACCUGAAACCGUGUGCCUACAACAAGUCAAAGCCCGUUAAUGGGUGAUGGCGUGCCUUUUGUAGAAUGAACCGGCGAGUUACGAUUGCAUGCGAGGUUAAGUUGAAGAGACGGAGCCGCAGCGAAAGCGAGUCUGAAUAGGGCGUUUGAGUAUGUAGUCGUAGACCCGAAACCAUGUGAUCUACCCAUGUCCAGGUUGAAGGUGCGGUAAAACGCACUGGAGGACCGAACCCACGUACGUUGAAAAGUGCGGGGAUGAGGUGUGGGUAGCGGAGAAAUUCCAAACGAACUUGGAGAUAGCUGGUUCUCUCCGAAAUAGCUUUAGGGCUAGCCUCGGAAUUGAGAAUGAUGGAGGUAGAGCACUGUUUGGACUAGGGGCCCAUCUCGGGUUACCGAAUUCAGAUAAACUCCGAAUGCCAUUCAUUCAUAUCCGGGAGUCAGACUGUGAGUGAUAAGAUCCAUAGUCGAAAGGGAAACAGCCCAGACCACCAGCUAAGGUCCCAAAAUAUAUGUUAAGUGGAAAAGGAUGUGGGGUUGCACAGACAACUAGGAUGUUGGCUUAGAAGCAGCCAUCAUUUAAAGAGUGCGUAAUAGCUCACUAGUCGAGUGACCCUGCGCCGAAAAUGUACCGGGGCUAAACAUAUUACCGAAGCUGUGGAGUACACCUUUAGGUGUAUUGGUAGGAGAGCGUUCUAAGGGCGUUGAAGGCAGAUCGUGAGGACUGCUGGAGCGCUUAGAAGUGAGAAUGCCGGUAUGAGUAGCGAAAGACAGGUGAGAAUCCUGUCCACCGAAUGACUAAGGUUUCCUGGGGAAGGCUCGUCCGCCCAGGGUUAGUCGGGACCUAAGCCGAGGCCGACAGGCGUAGGCGAUGGAUAACAGGUUGAUAUUCCUGUACCCGUUGUUUUUGUUUGAGCAAUGGAGGGACGCAGGAGGCUAAGGAAUGCAGACGAUCGGAAAUGUCUGUCCAAGCAGCAAGUCUGAAGAGGAGUCAAAUGCUUCUUUUCUUAAGGACAAGCUGUGAUGGGGAGGGAAAUAAUAGUACCGAAGUUCCUGAUGUCACACUGCCGAGAAAAGCUUCUAGUGAGAAAACAGCGGCCCGUACCGCAAACCGACACAGGUAGUCGAGGAGAGAAUCCUAAGGUGAGCGAGAGAACUCUCGUUAAGGAACUCGGCAAAAUGACCCCGUAACUUCGGGAGAAGGGGUGCUGAUCAUACGAUCAGCCGCAGUGAAUAGGCCCAAGCGACUGUUUAUCAAAAACACAGGUCUCUGCAAAAUCGUAAGAUGAAGUAUAGGGGCUGACGCCUGCCCGGUGCUGGAAGGUUAAGAGGAGUGCUUAGCGCAAGCGAAGGUACGAAUUGAAGCCCCAGUAAACGGCGGCCGUAACUAUAACGGUCCUAAGGUAGCGAAAUUCCUUGUCGGGUAAGUUCCGACCCGCACGAAAGGCGUAACGAUUUGGGCACUGUCUCAACGAGAGACUCGGUGAAAUUUUAGUACCUGUGAAGAUGCAGGUUACCCGCGACAGGACGGAAAGACCCCAUGGAGCUUUACUGUAGUUUGAUAUUGAGUGUCUGUACCGCAUGUACAGGAUAGGUAGGAGCCGUAGAAAUCGGAACGCUAGUUUCGAUGGAGGCGCUGGUGGGAUACUACCCCUGCGUUAUGGCCACUCUAACCCGCACCACUAAUCGUGGUGGGAGACAGUGUCAGAUGGGCAGUUUGACUGGGGCGGUCGCCUCCUAAAAGGUAACGGAGGCGCCCAAAGGUUCCCUCAGAAUGGUUGGAAAUCAUUCGAAGAGUGUAAAGGCAGAAGGGAGCUUGACUGCGAGACCAACAAGUCGAGCAGGGACGAAAGUCGGGCUUAGUGAUCCGGUGGUUCCGCAUGGAAGGGCCAUCGCUCAACGGAUAAAAGCUACCCUGGGGAUAACAGGCUUAUCUCCCCCAAGAGUCCACAUCGACGGGGAGGUUUGGCACCUCGAUGUCGGCUCGUCGCAUCCUGGGGCUGUAGUCGGUCCCAAGGGUUGGGCUGUUCGCCCAUUAAAGCGGCACGCGAGCUGGGUUCAGAACGUCGUGAGACAGUUCGGUCCCUAUCCGUCGCGGGCGUUGGAAAUUUGAGAGGAGCUGUCCUUAGUACGAGAGGACCGGGAUGGACUUACCGCUGGUGUACCAGUUGUUCUGCCAAGGGCAUUGCUGGGUAGCUAUGUAGGGAAGGGAUAAACGCUGAAAGCAUCUAAGUGUGAAGCCCACCUCAAGAUGAGAUUUCCCAUUUCUUUAAGAAAGUAAGAUCCCUGAGAGAUGAUCAGGUAGAUAGGUCAGGAGUGGAAGUACAGUGAUGUAUGGAGCGGACUGAUACUAAUCGAUCGAGGACUUAACCAA